rnacentral:sRNA from 1 species
UUUCACGCCGACUUUCCGACUGGUGUCGCCGGAGCUACGCACCGGAGGCAUAACCGGCUGGUCGGUGCGA